AAAAUGGACACUCACAAGAAAUGGUCCGGCCCAACAACGCCCAAACGGAGCAACACUGCAACUAGACACAGCCCGCACAAAGCCCAUAAAACUAAGCGGACUCCCACGGCACAACACCACAGACAGCCUCGAUGCAAAGCAACGACCCAACGAGGAUUCAAAAGGGGCAAGGCCCACCCAGAGAGACCGAGGGGAUGGCAGACUGUCAAGCCUAAACUAGAUACCGCCACACUGCCACAUCAAACAGUAAACAGCCAGCCACAGCAUCGAUCAGCACAACUCAC